rnacentral:piRNA from 3 species
UGGUUGAUGUGGACAUUAUGACACUUUGUC